AACGAACGCUGGCGGCGUGCUUAACACAUGCAAGUCGAACGCGAAAGGGAUCUUCGGAUUCCCGGUAGAGUGGCGCACGGGUGAGUAACGCGUAAAUAAUCUACCCUGAUGUCUGGAAUAAUUAGCCGAAAGGCUGACUAAUACGGGAUACAUGCUUUGCUGUUGGGUGAAGCAGGAAAGGUGGCCUCUAUUUAUAAGCUAUCGCAUUGGGAUGAGUUUGCGUACCAUUAGCUAGUUGGUGGGGUAAGAGCCCACCAAGGCGCCGCUGGUUAGCGGGUCUGAGAGGAUGAUCCGCCACACUGGCACUGGAACACGGGCCAGACUCCUACGGGAGGCAGCAGUGAGGAAUAUUGCGCAAUGGGGGCAACCCUGACGCAGCGACGCCGCGUGAGUGAGGAAGGCCUUCGGGUCGUAAAGCUCUGUCAGCAGGGAAGAAGUGCAUGAUGGCUAAUAUCCAUUGUGUUUGACGGUACCUGCAAAGGAAGCACCGGCUAACUCCGUGCCAGCAGCCGCAGUAA
rnacentral:rRNA from 1 species